GAAGCCGUGACCCACAGGAGUGGGUAUUUAUGCCCUAGUGUGGACACAGCUGUCGUGGAUGUCGGGAAAGUUAUAUAUAUAUAACUUACCUGAGAGUCGAGAGUGGAUUUCAUGUUCUUUAUUCAGCUCAUAGUAGUGAGGAGGAAUGGAAGUUCCCCCAGAAUGUCUGCUUUAUAUACAUUAUUUACACAAUGGGCCCCAUGUGAUUGGCUAAUUCCAGGAUUCUCCUGUAGGCCAGUCAGGUUGCGGAUUCACUUCCACCUGGAGCUGGUUGGGUGGCUCCUGUGGACCAAUCAGACUGCUGCAUUCUGGAUCCUAUUGUUCUUGGACCAACAGACUGCUGCAUUUUGAAUCCUUUCAACUCAGUACAUAACAGUACCCUUUUCAAUGCAUGCUGAAAAAUUUUAACUUUUUUUAAACAAACCAGCCCAGAUAUUUCAAACGCUUGUGUGUUUUCGUCUAGUUUUUAGUUUUACUGGUUUUAUGCUUGAAUAUUUAAAAAAAAAAUGGGGGGCUUUGCAGUUUUACAAUCUUUUUGUUUUCUUUUCUUUGUCAACUGCUUUGUGGGGUUUUUUUACAAUUUAGUGGUACAUAAAUGUUAUGAAAUAAAUCAAUAAAUAUUCUGUCUUAAAAUAUUGCAGUUGCUUUUACCCUGGCCUCAUUUGGGGUGAGAGACCCUUCUCUUUUCUGCUUUUCUUUUUAUAGGAAGUGAUAAAUGCUGAGUCCAUGCAGUGCUCAGAGACGGUGGCCCAAUUUCUUCUGAAAACGACUGAAAUAUCCACAGGUAUUGGGAAAUUGCUGGUUCUAUCGCUCCUUUACGUUUCGGGGUAUUCAAGCACACACACACAUUCCACAGAAUAACAUAGCAGGUGUUCUGUCUGCAGAUUCCUCUCUCCACAAAGCUCUCAUACAUAGAUUUAUUGAAGAUAAUCA